rnacentral:rRNA from 1 species
UGCAGUCAGAACGAUGAUGCCCAGCUUGCUGGGCGGAUUAGUGGCGAACGGGUGAGUAAUACGUGAGUAACCUGCCCUUGACUCUGGGAUAAGCCUGGGAAACUGGGUCUAAUACUGGAUACUACCUCUUACCGCAUGGUGGGUGGUGGAAAGGGUUUUACUGGUUUUGGAUGGGCUCACGGCCUAUCAGCUUGUUGGUGGGGUAAUGGCUCACCAAGGCGACGACGGGUAGCCGGCCUGAGAGGGUGACCGGCCACACUGGGACUGAGACACGGCCCAGACUCCUACGGGAGGCAGCAGUGGGGAAUAUUGCACAAUGGGCGGAAGCCUGAUGCAGCGACGCCGCGUGAGGGAUGACGGCCUUCGGGUUGUAAACCUCUUUCAGUAGGGAAGAAGCGAGAGUGACGGUACCUGCAGAAGAAGCGCCGGCUAACUACGUGCCAGCAGCCGCGGUAAUACGUAGGGCGCAAGCGUUGUCCGGAAUUAUUGGGCGUAAAGAGCUCGUAGGCGGUUUGUCGCGUCUGCUGUGAAAGCCCGGGGCUCAACCCCGGGUCUGCAGUGGGUACGGGCAGACUAGAGUGCAGUAGGGGAGACUGGAAUUCCUGGUGUAGCGGUGAAAUGCGCAGAUAUCAGGAGGAACACCGAUGGCGAAGGCAGGUCUCUGGGCUGUUACUGACGCUGAGGAGCGAAAGCAUGGGGAGCGAACAGGAUUAGAUACCCU